CUUGGUCAUUUAGAGGAAGUAAAAGUCGUAACAAGGUUUCCGUAGGUGAACCUGCGGAAGGAUCAUUACUAGAGCAAAGGAUAGACAGCACCCGCGGAGCUCGCUCCCGGGGCUACCCUACUCCGGUAGGGUUUAGAGUCGUCGGGCCUCUCGGAGAAGCUCGGUCCUGAACUCCACCCUUGAAUAAACUACCUUUGUUGCUUUGGCGGGCCGCCUCGUGCCAGCGGCUUCGGCUGUUGAGUGCCCGCCAGAGGACCACAACUCUUGUUUUUAGUGAUGUCUGAGUACUAUAUAAUAGUUAAAACUUUCAACAACGGAUCUCUUGGUUCUGGCAUCGAUGAAGAACGCAGCGAAAUGCGAUAAGUAAUGUGAAUUGCAGAAUUCAGUGAAUCAUCGAAUCUUUGAACGCACAUUGCGCCCUCUGGUAUUCCGGGGGGCAUGCCUGUUCGAGCGUCAUUAUAACCACUCAAGCUCUCGCUUGGUAUUGGGGUUCGCGGUUUCGCGGCCCCUAAAAUCAGUGGCGGUGCCUGUCGGCUCUACGCGUAGUAAUACUCCUCGCGAUUGAGUCCGGUAGGUCUACUUGCCAGCAACCCCUAAUUUUUUUAAGGUUGACCUCGGAUCAGGUAGGGAUACCCGCUGAACUUAAGCAUAUCAAUAAGCGGAGGAAAAGAAACCAACAGGGAUUACCUCAGUAACGGCGAGUGAAGCGGUAACAGCUCAAAUUUGAAAGCUGGCUCUUUUAGGGUCCGCGUUGUAAUUUGUAGAAGAUGCUUCGGGUGUGGCCCCGGUCUAAGUUCCUUGGAACAGGACGUCAUAGAGGGUGAGAAUCCCGUAUGUGACUGGGUGCUUUCGCUCAUGUGAAGCUCUUUCGACGAGUCGAGUUGUUUGGGAAU
rnacentral:sRNA from 1 species